GACGAACGCUGGCGGCGUGCUUAACACAUGCAAGUCGAACGGAAAGGCCCUGCCUUUGUGUGGUGCUCGAGUGGCGAACGGGUGAGUAACACGUGAGUAACCUGCCCUUGACUCUGGGAUAACUGCUGGAAACGGCGGCUAAUACUGGAUAGGAGCUCCUGCGGCAUGUUGGGGGUUUGAAAAUUUCGGCGGUUGGGGAUGGACUCGCGGCUUAUCAGCUUGUUGGUGGGGUAGUGGCUUACCAAGGCUUUGACGGGUAGCCGGCCUGAGAGGGUGACCGGCCACACUGGGACUGAGACACGGCCCAGACUCCUACGGGAGGCAGCAGUGGGGAAUAUUGCACAAUGGGCGGAAGCCUGAUGCAGCAACGCCGCGUGAGGGAUGACGGCCUUCGGGUUGUAAACCGCUUUCGCCUGUGAAGAAGCGAGAGUGACGGUAAUGGGUAAAGAAGCACCGGCUAACUACGUG
rnacentral:rRNA from 1 species